CAAUAGCGUAUAUUAAAGUUGUUGCAGUUAAAAAGCUCGUAGUUGGAUUUCUGGUUGAAGCGACCGGUCGGGCGUUGAUUCGUCUGCACUGGAGUCGGUUUUGGCCAUCCUCUAGGAAAGUGCGUCUGGUAUUAAGUUAUCGGGCGUAUGAUCCUGGUCUUUUACUGUGAAAAAAUUAGAGUGUUUAAAGCAGGCCUUCGUCUUGAAUACAUUAGCAUGGAAUAAUAAGAUAGGACUUUGGUCUAUUUUGUUGGUUUGCAGACCGAAGUAAUGAUUAAUAGGGAUAGUUGGGGGUAUUUAUAUUCCGAUGUCAGAGGUGAAAUUCUUAGAUUUUCGGAAGAUAAACUUAUGCGAAAGCAUUUACCAAGGAUGUUUUCAUUAA
rnacentral:rRNA from 1 species